UCUUCUUUUCCUUCCUUCUGAUCCUAGUCAAUUAGGUCUCAUCAGGAGUGGCUGCGUUGUCUUCUUCUGUGGUCUGGCAAUGCUGCUUCCCCCUCAGGAGGAGUGUAAUUUCCCAACACUGCUGUGUGGACUAUACUUGUUGAUCUUGGUUAUUGAGGUUUGGAUUUGGCCCUCAAAAGAUGCUGAAGUCCGGCUGGCAUGGAACCUGGUGAGUUUCUGCAGAUGAUGGGGGAUAAUGAGGUCACCCACCGACUACAUUACAAUCUUUUCCAUCUGUGUCCCCAGUAAGGGGAAUUUGGGACAUAGGGUCCACCUCUGGGGAGAAGAGAGCAGUGUGAACUGCUUUCAAGAGAAGCACUUGAUCUUUUUCUCCCUGUGUCGGGCUGCUCCUCAGGCGCAUGCUCAUUCUGGCCCUGUGUAUUCAGAUCAACGCCAAUGGCGUUGAAGAAACCAUGGAGACCGCUCCUGAAGAUUAAGACAGCUCUGGCUCCUGAGGGAUGCUGUGGCCCUUGGCGCUGAGCCCAGUACUUGAACUUGGUUCUGGGGCAGAGGUGUUAUAUUAAUCAAUAUUAAACUCCUAAAGGCUUUCCUGCCCUAGCUACUUCCCAAAUAAUUGACCCAGAGAGACCAUAAUUUAUUUUAUAAGCUUAAAGCACUAGAGUUGAGCAGACAUCAACCUUCUAAACUAUUUCACUAUCUCCCAGUUACACAUUCCAAGUUACUUGCCAAUAAAUCAUCCUGUCUGGGCUGGGUCUGCUCCAUCACCCUGUCCUCAUGGCCAUAUCCUCAUGGUUCAUUCUGCCCCACGGCUACUUCCUUCUCUCUGGCUUCUUCUCUUCUUGCUGCAUCUUCUGUUUCCUUCUCCUCUUGUCUCAUUGUCUUUCCCAGACCCCCAAGCCAGGGAACCUAAGCACUGCCUACCUCUCUUCUGCCCAGCCCAUGCUGUCAGCAAAUUUAUUAGCCAAUCAGGGAUAAUCGGGGAGCAAAGUUACACAGCAUCACUUGGUAUACAUAAGAAUGUGCUUUUCAGGAGUGUAACUAGAUCUUGGAGGACAGUAAUUAGCAUUAGAAUUCAUAGCACCCCACCAAGCCCCAACACAGAGGUGUGAAAUAUCUAUUUCUGAGCCAUGUUUGUCUUUGUGGGCUACCAUUUGUUGACACCAAGCCGCCAAAUGUUCUUCUAGAGUGGGAAAGACUCUUCCUUAUUUUCUGUUUUAUUUUUGUCUACUUAAAAAAGUCAAAAUAGCAUUUAUUCCAUGAAGACAUUACAAUGGCAAACCAUUUUUUUUUUUUAAAUUUGUAUCCAACUAGCAAAGUAAAAGUUGGUAGCUCUUGGGUCCUCAUUAAAAAAAAAAAAAUUAAAAUUAGUUGUGAAAUUAAAAAUAAAAUCUGUGAACCACUGUUUUUGGUGUUGUAAGGGACAAUUAAUCCCAGAGGCCCUGGAUUUAUUUUUAUUGUUUUACUUUGGAAGAGAGGAGGGCAUUAUUGGUCAUCGGAUCUCAUUGCUCCUAAACUCGUUUUGCUCCUCAUGUCUACAUGCCCUGUUCAUUCCUGAAACCUCAUCUGGCCCAAGCCUUAACCCAGUUUCCUCAUUGUGCAUCCUGCUUUCUUGAAGAACAUAGUGAACUUGGCGCAGGAGAACUGGGGUCUAUGUCCACCCCCGUGGCUUGAAUACUUUGAUAUUUACCCUUCUGCUUGACUAAUGGCCUGUUCAUUCUUCAGGACACAGAAGGGAUUGUCUCUUGUUUUUCCUAAUUACAUUUUUGGCUGUUGUAGUUAGGAGAAGAAAUUAUAUUUAAAACACAAAUGUCUCAUGGAGUAGAUUCUAAUUUGGCAACGUGAUUAUGAAUGGUCUAUGUAACCCUCAAAUAAUCUUCCAGAAAUAUCUGCUUCCAUGUCACAAAUCCUUAGUAAUUUUCUAAUGCUCUUCCAGAAAAGAAAAAAAAAAAUAGUAAACUGGUGUCGCAUGGAAGUGGUAGAAAACUGGCACAGGUAAACAGGACGUUGUCGCCCAUAGUCAUGAAAGAGUUUAUUUGAUCAUUUUAUUUCAUAUAACAUAUUCUAGGGCCCUGGAGGAACAAGACUGGGCAGGUAGUUUUUGAUACAGGCAUGAGAUUGUGUGAAUAUUCAUUAAGGUUGUCAUUUCUACUUUGUUAGGUUUACAUUCUGAGUGGAGUAGUUUGCUGGCAAAUUUAAUAUGUAUGUGAGUGUUGUCUCUUAAGGACAAGAAGGCUGUGGGAUAUAAAUGAGACAGCAGGGGCGAAAGGAAGGUAUUGAAUAGAAGCUGUCCUGUUUCAGCAUUUUGUCCAGGGCUAACUGAGGGGGUAGGCAAUAGCUCUGCCCUUGACGUUUGUGGACCUGGAUAAGAAUCAGGUUCAACACAGGGAACUUCCCAGAGACUCAUACUCCAACCAAGGACUAUUCGUGGAAAUGACCUGGAACCCCUGCACAGGUGUAGCCCAUGGCAGUUCAGUGUCCAAGUGGGUUACAUAGUAAUGAAGAGGGACUGCCUCUGACAUACUCUGAUUGGCCUGCUCGUUGAUCACCUCCCCCUGAGGGGGGAGCAGCCUUACUAGGCCACAAUAGAGGACAAUGCAGCCACUUUUGAUGAGAACUGAUAGACUAAGAUCAGAAAGAAGAGGAGAACCUCCCCUAUCAGUGGACUUGGGGAG